rnacentral:rRNA from 1 species
CCUACGGGAGGCAGCAGUGAGUAAUAUUGGUCAAUGGGCGGGAGCCUGAACCAGCCAAGUCGCGUGAGGGAAGACGGUCCUAUGGAUUGUAAACCUCUUUAGGCGGGGAGCAAUGCCGGGCACGCGUGCCCGGAGGGAGAGUACCCGCAGAAUAAGCAUCGGCUAACUCCGUGCCAGCAGCCGCGGUAAUACGGAGGAUGCGAGCGUUAUCCGGAUUUAGUGGGUUUAAAGGGUGCGUAGGCGGAUUUUUAAGUCAGCGGUAAAAUGUCCGGGCUCAACCCGGGCCGGACGUUGACACUGGGGAUCUUGAGUGGGCGAGAAGUAUGCGGAAUGCGUGGUGUAGCGGUGAAAUGAAUAGAGAUCACGCAGAACUCCGAUUGCGAAGGCAGCAUACCGGCGCCCGACUGACGCUGAGGCACGAAAGCGUGGGGAUCGAACAGGAUUAGAUACCCCUGUAGUC